CAAAAGUACAACCCUGAACGGUGGAUCACUCGGSUYGUGGGUCGAUUAAGAACGCAGCAAAUUGCGCGUCGACAUGUGAACUGCAGGACACAUGAACAUCGACAUUUCGAACGCACAUUGCGGUCCAUGGAUUCCGUUCCCGGACCACGCCUGGCUGAGGGUCGGUAGCUAAAA
rnacentral:rRNA from 1 species